rnacentral:misc_RNA from 1 species
GAUGAAGAACGUAGUGAAAUGCGAUAAGUAAUGUGAAUUGUAGAAUUCAGUGAAUCAUCGAAUCUUUGAACGCAUCUUGCGCUCCUUGGUAUUCUGAGGAGCAUGCCUGUUUGAGUGUCAUUAAAUUCUCAACUACACUGACUUUGAAUUGGUGUGGCUUGGAUUUGGGGGGAAAAUUGUUGUGGGCUUUUUGUAUAGUCUGCUCCCCUGAAAUUGAUUAGCGGUACCUUUGUGGAACUGUCUACAGGUGUGAUAAUUAUCUACAUCUUAGACAUCUGCUGGAAUGCUGCUUUCUAAACCUUACUUGUAUUGACAAUCUUGACCUCAAAUCAGGUAGGACUACCCGCUGAACUUAAGCAUAUCAAUAAGCGGAGGA